GAUGAACGCUGGCGGCGGGCCUAAUACAUGCAAGUCGAGCGAACAGACGAGGAGCUUGCUCCGCUGACGUUAGCGGCGGACGGGUGAUUAACACGUGGAUAACCUACCUAUAAGACUGGGAUAACGUCGGGAAACCGGAGCUAAUACCGGAUAAUAUAUUGAACCGCAUGGUUCAAUAGUGAAAGACGGUUUUGCUGUCACUUAUAGAUGGAUCCGCGCCGCAUUAGCUAGUUGGUAAGGUAACGGCUUACCAAGGCAACGAUGCGUAGCCGACCUGAGAGGGUGAUCAGUCACACUGGAACUGAGACACGGUCCAGACUCCUACGGGAGGCAGCAGUAGGGAAUCUUCCGCAAUGGGCGAAAGCCUGACGGAGCCACGCCGCGUGAGUGAUGAAGGUCUUCGGAUCGUAAAACUCUGUUAUUAGGGAAGAACAAAUGUGUAAGUAACUAUGCCCGUCUUGACGGUACCUAAUGAGAAAGCCCCGGCUAACUACGUG
rnacentral:rRNA from 1 species